GACAAACGCUGGCGGCGUGCGUAAAACAUGCAAGUCGCACGGAGCUUCGGCUCAGUGGCAGACGGCUGAGUAACGCGUAGGAAUCUACCCACCAGUGGGGAAUAACGGCCCGAAAGGGUCGCUAAUACCGCAUACGACCCCGGGGCAACUCGGGAGGAAAGCCAUUGGCGCUGGUGGAGGAGCCUGCGUCCGAUUAGCUCGUUGGUGGGGUAACGGCCUACCAAGGCGAUGAUCGGUAGCUGGUCUGAGAGGACGAUCAGCCACAUUGGGACUGAGACACGGCCCAAACUCCUACGGGAGGCAGCAGUGGGGAAUAUUGGACAAUGGGCGCAAGCCUGAUCCAGCCGUGCCGCGUGAGUGAUGAAGGCCUUAGGGUUGUAAAGCUCUUUCGUCCGGGACGAUAAUGACGGUACCGGAAGAAGAAGCCCCGGCUAACUUCGUGCCAGCCGCCGCCGUAAAAC
rnacentral:rRNA from 1 species